rnacentral:rRNA from 1 species
UACGUAGGGUGCAAGCGUUGUCCGGAAUUAUUGGGCGUAAAGGGCGCGUAGGCGGUCCCGUCAGUCCCUUGUGAAAUCCCCCGGCUCAACUGGGGAACUGCAAGGGAUACAGCGGGGCUGAGUUCGGGGAGAGGGAAGCGGAAUUCCACGUGUAGCAGUGAAAUGCGUAGAGAUGUGGAGGAAUACCGAUGGCGGAAGGCAGCCCCCUGGGACAUGACUGACGCUCAUGCACGAAAGCGUGGGGAGCAAACAGGG